GCCAGGCAUGGUAGCACAUACCUGUAAUCCCAGCUACUUGGGAGGCUGAGGCAGGAGAAUUGCCUGAACCUGGGAGGCGCAGGUUGCAGUGAGCCAAGAUCGCACCAUUGCACUCCAUCCUGGGCGACAGGGCGAGACUCCGUUUCAAAAAAAAAAAAAAAAAGAGAGAGAGAUAAAAUCUCCUUCUGUCACCCAGGCUGGAGUGCAGUGGUGCAAUCUCAGCUCAUUGCAACCUCUGCCUCGCAGGUUCAAGCAAUUCUCCUGCCUCA
rnacentral:sRNA from 1 species